rnacentral:rRNA from 1 species
GUGAGGAAUAUUGGGCAAUGGGCGAAAGCCUGACCCAGCCACACCGCGUGAGUGAUGAAGGCCUUCGGGUUGUAAAGCUCUGUGGGGAGGGAAGAAAAAGCGCAGGAGUAACUGCCUGUGUGUUGACGGUACCUCCUUAGCAAGCACCGGCUAACUCCGUGCCAGCAGCCGCGGUAAUACAGAGGGUGCAAACGUUGCUCGGAAUUACUGGGCGUAAAGCGCGUGUAGGCUGACAUGCAAGUCGGGUGUGAAAUCCCAGGGCUCAACCUUGGAGCUGCACUCGAAACUGCACGUCUUGAGUACUGGAGAGGGAAGCGGAAUUCCGGGUGUAGAGGUGAAAUUCGUAGAUAUCCGGAGGAACACCAGUGGCGAAGGCGGCUUCCUGGACAGUAACUGACGCUGAGACGCGAAAGCGUGGGGAGCAAACAGGAUUAGAAACCCCGGUAGUCC